CGGAACACUGGGAAGAAAAAAAAACAUCUUAUGGAAUUUUAGAACGACUUUAUAGAAGUUGGAUUUUGAAAGUAUGAGUGUGUUUUGGCUAUCAUGGCUAACUAAAUUUUGGACAAUCCUGCAGGUGCUGCGUUCUGCAUUACCGCGUGAGUAAACACCUCGAGUAAUCGUAGCCGCAGCGAUCACGGCGAGAUGGCGAAGCCUGCGAUUCGUUCUCGCGUCUAAAGACGGCCAGGAAUGAAAGAUAAUUCGGCAAAGCGCCGGUAGAAUUCGUGCCUUAAACUAAUGAGUAAGGAAAAUAUAGAGCUUUGGUGACGCUUAGCUAUGCUAUAAUCAAGCGACCGUAUUUUUGAAUGGGCACAGGUCGUCCCAGGCUGCUUGGACUACUUUUUCGAGCGGCUAGGUGAAGCGAUCUACCCG